rnacentral:rRNA from 1 species
CCCUUAGAUGUUCUGGGCCGCACGCGCGCUACACUGUUCGACGCAGCGAGUCUUAACCUUGACCGAAAGGUUUGGGUAAUCUUCAGCAAAGUCGAACGUGAUGGGGAUCGAUCAUUGCAAUUAUUGAUCGUGAACGAGGAAUUCCUAGUAAGUGCAAGUCAUCAGCUUGCGCCGAUUACGUCCCUGCCCUUUGUACACACCGCCCGUCGCUACUACCGAUUGAAUGGUUUAGUGAGAUCUCUGGAUUGACGCUGGCUAGGGGGCGACCCUUGGCCAGGCUGUCGAGAAACUGCUCAAACUUGAUCAUUUAGAGGAAGUAAAAGUCGUAACA